UCUGGCGGCAGUAGCGCGGUGGUCCCACCUGACCCCAUGCCGAACUCAGAAGUGAAACGCCGUAGCGCUGAUGGUAGUGUGGGGUCUCCCCAUGCGAGAGUAGGGAACUGCCAGAC
rnacentral:rRNA from 5 species